UGGGGAAUUUUGGACAAUGGACGCAAGCCUGAUCCAGCAAUGCCGCGUGCAGGAUGAAGGCCUUCGGGUUGUAAACUGCUUUUGUACGGAGCGAAAAGGUCUGCCCUAAUACGGUGGGCUCAUGACGGUACCGUAAGAAUAAGCACCGGCUAACUACGUGCCAGCAGCCGCGGUAAUACGUAGGGUGCGAGCGUUAAUCGGAAUUACUGGGCGUAAAGCGUGCGCAGGCGGUUAUAUAAGACAGAGGUGAAAUCCCCGGGCUCAACCUGGGAACUGCCUUUGUGACUGCAUAGCUAGAGUACGGUAGAGGGGGAUGGAAUUCCGCGUGUAGCAGUGAAAUGCGUAGAUAUGCGGAGGAACACCGAUGGCGAAGGCAAUCCCCUGGACCUGUACUGACGCUCAUGCACGAAAGCGUGGGGAGCAAACA
rnacentral:rRNA from 1 species